rnacentral:rRNA from 1 species
GAUGAACGCUGGCGGCGUGCCUAAUACAUGCAAGUCGAGCGAACGGACGAGAAGCUUGCUUCUCUGAUGUUAGCGGCGGACGGGUGAGUAACACGUGGAUAACCUACCUAUAAGACUGGGAUAACUUUGGGAAACCGUAGCUAAUACCGGAUAAUAUUUUGAACCGCAUGGUUCAAAAGUGAAAGACGGUCUUGCUGUCACUUAUAGAUGGAUCCGCGCUGCAUUAGCUAGUUGGUAAGGUAACGGCUUACCAAGGCAACGAUGCAUAGCCGACCUGAGAGGGUGAUCGGCCACACUGGAACUGAGACACGGUCCAGACUCCUACGGGAGGCAGCAGUAGGGAAUCUUCCGCAAUGGGCGAAAGCCUGACGGAGCAACGCCGCGUAAGUGAUGAAGGUCUUCGGAUCGUAAAACUCUGUUAUUAGGGAAGAACAUAUGUGUAAGUAACUGUGCACAUCUUGACGGUACCUAAUCAGAAAGCCACGGCUAACUACGUG